AUACGACCAUACCCACUGGAGAACUCGGGAUCCCGUCCGCUCUCCCAUAGAUAAGCCAGUGAGGGCCGGAUUAGUAGUUGGGUCGGUGACGACCAGCGAAUACCUGGUGUUGUAUG